GGCUGUGGAGGCUGAAUUAGCCUUUGCCUUGGCAGGAGCUGACUCAAAGCCUGCAGAGCUGCAGUGACACAGGGAGUGCAAAGGGGGAACUUUGCAGCCUGCCUGGUCUUGCCUGGUGAAAUGGGAGCAGCUAUGGUGAAAUUCCUUUUUAGCUUGGGAAAGACAAGGUAGCAGAUAUGACAACUGACUGUGGACAAGGAAUUCUGCUGAUGGCGUCUUCCUUUUUGCAGAGCUUUUUUCUGAUGGGCCUAGAAGAUUUCUCAUGAUUAACUUGAGACAGUGACUAACUCCCACAGGCAAUGCUUCCAAUACAUCCAUCUGUUUUUCUAGGUGUGAAGGGAAAGUGCAUGCCAGUGUUUGCACAAAUGUUCAGAGAUGGUUGAUACGAGUCUGUCAGGACACGUGGAGCAGAGAAGGAGGGCAAAGGCAGUGCCUUGUGGAAUGACUCCCAAACAAAAAAACUGGGCAUCCAGACCAGCUGGCAAAUGUGGACAAAUCCUGAAGGCAACCUAAUAAUUUUGGUUCAGAAAAAGGGCUGGUGAAUGAUGGAUUUGAAUCUGGACCUUUCCUUUGUGCUCAAUUCAUCUUCCACUGAAGCUAAAGAAUAAUGAACACCCAGGCAAAAGCUUCCUCCAGCUGCCUG